rnacentral:lncRNA from 1 species
AGCUACGUUCUUUGGUCUCUACUUGAAUAUCUCUGGCCAAUUGUCUUCCAAGGGAUCCCAUCGUUGUGCCACCACUAUACCAACCACUUGCCGACUUCAUGCUCUGUGGCAGUCCCCAUGCUGAGCACCGUUCCUUCUCUGCCUCAUUCAGUUGUCGCAACCACCCAACAAAGCUUCGUAGGUGAAAGUUGCAGCCAGGGUUUGCGAACCCUUGUGUUCAUGGCGACCAAGCAGGUGACCCAAAGGCAGGAGCUUCUGGAAAGUGUCGUGCAUGGCACCUGCCACCAGAGGGGGCAAUUCAUAAACGGUAGCAGGUAGGACUGCAACCUUGGAGAGGAGGAAGAGGAGGCAAGAUGGAAUUAAGAGGAAGAGGAGACCUUGGGCCCCAACUUCUCAGGAAACAGUGCCCUCCCAAUCUGUUCCCAAUCUCCUAGGCUUCAUCAAGUCCACGCUUGGACACAGCCCUGCUCCAAGAGGAGGUUCCAGGUUCCAUGAAUCUGUAAUAACCCCCCUGGUGUCAGACUCUCUCUUUGGGUGAUACCCCAAAUGGUUGUCCUUCUUCAUCUUUGGUUGUUGACCAUAAAGUGUUUUUCUUCUGUUAAUUAUUUGUGUCAAGCAUAAGAAUAAACAACAUAUUAAAAUAAUUCAUUAAGGAUUAUAUGUCAUUUGUUGGUUGCAUGUGCCAUAUGAGAACUGUUACCUUCUUUUAACUUAAAAUAUUUCUCAAAAUUCUUUGAGCAAAACUAUCUCUCCUGGCCAUGAGUAUUCUAUUGUAAUACCCCCACCCCAGGCAUGGUUCUACAAACCUAAUGGGUUGCACAUGCCCUAUUUAAGAAACGUGUUCCUCAACUGACUUUCAGUGGUCAACACCCAUUGGACAGCAGGUGAGCCUAAAAUAUCUCCAUGAGAGCCCCAUCACCACUGGAAGAUUAUCACGAAACCAAACAUCAGAGCUCAUUUCCAAAAUUAAUCUUCUGUUGGCCAACUCUAUUUUCUUUCACUUCUGGAAAAAGGGGGGGCAGGUGCUCACAACUAAUCUCUACUUUUUUUUUUUAGAGUUUGUUUGUUUUUUUAUUUAUUCAUGAGAUAUAUAUAUAUAUAUAUAUAUAUAUAUAUAUAUAUAUAGAGAGAGAGAGAGAGAGAGAGAGAGAGAGAGAGAGGCAGAGACAUAGGCAGAGGGAAAAGCAGGCUCCAUGCAGGGAGCCUGAUGUGGGAUUUGAUUCUGGGACUGCAGGAUCAUGCCCUGAGCCAAAAGCAGAUGCCCAACCGCUGAGCCACCCAG